ACUUUUGCUGUGUUCACCGUUCGUCCGUCCCCGUUCACCGUCGUGUUCCACCUCUCCAAAAAUGCAUACCAUAUUCUUCACAUUUUGUUCGUCCAUCCAACUCUCUCCCUGCCACCGCCCUCUCCGAUUAUCUGUCUGUCAUCAUCUUUGACUCUCUCCCUAUCGCCCUGUCUCCAUCUCUCUCGUCUUCCUCUCAAUCUACAUUUUGUUACGUUCUUGUUUUUCUCCUUGGGGCUUUUAUUUCUUCAAGUUUCAAUCGAUUAGUUUGUAAUUUUUCUUUAAUUUCUUUAUUCUUAAUAUGAUUUCCGCCUAAAUUUUUCUAGGGUUUUUAAUCGUAGCUUGUGGUGUGUCACAUUCCAACCUAAAGAUUUCUUCUUCCUCAUUUGUUCAAGAAAUUCAACUUGCUCUUCUUAGUUAUCUACUAGUGCAGGUGUUUUCUGUUUUCAUUUUUUUAUUAUUGAAUCUUUCAGUUUCUACACUUUGGGAAAUUGAAAAUUUUCUUUAUUCUGUUUCUUUCUUUAUUGAAAAUUUCUUUGUUCUAGUUUCUACUACUGGUGUAAGUCCCAACCAGCAGUUUCAAAAGCACUUUCAAUAUCCAAUUUGAUCACUUCACCUAGUUUCUUAGAUUUAAUUGGAGUUGUGGGGGAUCCAGAAAAAAUUGCCUCUAGAAAUUCUGAACAUUUAAUUCAAUUAUAGCCUUAUCUUUUCGUUCCUUUUGUAGUGGUAAUUUAUAUUUUAUGCCUAACCUUGCCUAUGUUGAGAACCCAACCUAUUAUAUGGUAUUUUGCUCUGUUCUUAUUUUGUUAUUCUGUAUGGUAAUGUACAAAUUCUUUCCCCCUCAAUUUUACUAUACUCCGAAGCCAAUCACUUUGUCCUUCCAGACCUUGAAAUUUGUACAUCUCUAUCAAUUUAAUUGGAUCAUACUAUAUAUAUCUGAAAUUUUCUUAUUACUUCUGCAGGUGUUAUAUUAUCUUUUUAGAGUUGAACCAUUUACAACUCUUACAAUUCAGUUGCAAUGUGGUUCCAGAGCUUUUUUUACCUUUCUGAGAUCUUAACAAAUGAAAACUCGAUUGAUUUUGGCACCACCCAAUUAGGGCAGAACAUUGGUAAUCCUUAAGGAAAAUACCUACUAUUGAGUAUUCGUAUGCCAGUAAGUUUCUCAUUUAGAUGUUAUUUAACAUUCUAAAUUUCAUCAAACUCCUUCUGUGGGCUAAAAAUCCAAUUAACUUUAUUCACAAACAUCGGAUGGCUAUUGAGAUCGAGCAUAUGUAUCAGCACAUCUGCAUGAGUCGAUUGAUCUCAUAUUUGGGUACAACAACGUGCCACACAAGAUCAAAUUGCCUACUUUGGUCAAACUCCAUCUCAACUUUUGAUUGUGCCUCAUUUGAGGAAGAAGCCCUUAGCUGAUGUCCUCCAUCUCCAGGAUCAUUGAUGUCCGCAAUCUAUGAUAAGAGGAAGGAUGAGGAUGAGUUUCUCUAUGUUACAUACAGUAGAGAGAACACAUUUGGAUGACGUUUACCAUUGUUCUGACACUUUGUUGUGACCAUAAAUUUUGUUGUGGUUGUCAUUCUGGAACUUUAUGUAUAUAGAUGGUAUACUUUUGGGCUAAGUUAGUUAAU